rnacentral:lncRNA from 1 species
AAAUUAACCCCUCCAAUUACAUGACCCAUUUUGUACUUACGCAACCCAAACCCACCUCAUCUUUCCUUUUAAUCAUUGUCGUUGAUCACAGAGAUCUACGGUCCACAUCAAACCUACCAUAAUUAAACCCCCAAAUACCCCCUAACCCUAAUAACUUUGCAAACCUAGCCGCCCUUGUAUCCCCAAAUGCUCUCUAGUCCUUCUGAACCCAAGUAUGUUCCGGCUUCGUCUCACUGGCGUCUAUGGCCGUGCAAGCGCCAAAACAUCUAUAUCACCACUCCUCACCUCUCAUGGCUCUUGGGUUCAAAGAUUGGAACCUUAUCUCGAAGGUUAUCGGACUAGAGGCCCUCCGAUUUGAGUUCUGUAGUCGUGCCUGGCUUUUCUCCGGUAAGCCUUGAGGCUAUGAGUCCUUUGCUGACUCACUCAGACUGGCCCGUUCCAGGCUUUCUCGCUAUCUAGAGAUCUUUCUUUGAAACCCUAAUUUUCAAGGUUUUUUCUCUGUGUUUAUCUUUACGAUCUUCUUUAAAUCCUAGUUAUUCUCUAUAAAAUUUAAAGUAUUUCUCACUUUUUCUUCGCCUAUUUUUGUUUUCAAACUGUCGCCUUCUUAAAAUUUAGGGUUUCUCUGAUUUCUCUGAUUUCUUUGAUUUCUUCGCUUUAUCUGCUAUUCUGGGAAUUCUCCUCUAGUUCUUACUGUGAUUUGAGUACUUUCUACUAUGGCUCUGAGGCAUUUUUACUUUACUGGGUUAUUUUCUAGGGUUUCGAGUUAAUAUGUUCGUUGCUCUUCAUUAUGUUGUCUACUUUUGUUCAUCUUCAUCGAUGUUCUUCAUUAUGCUAUAUAUAUGACGGAAACCCUAAGUUUAAAGGGUUUUAUGCUUUUCUCUGUAUGAUUACUUGCUUCAUGUUAAACCAUAGCCGCCUCUAAUUUCCUUCUUAUGUGUUUCUGCUACAUGAUUUGCUCUAUAAUUCCAGUUUGCAUUUGCGAAUCUAUGCAUCUCUUUGUAUAGUCACAUUCUUCCCUUUUUCUGAAUAACCCUAAUGUGGGAAAAUUGAUUUUGUACAGCUUGUUUGAUUCUCUAAUUGGGACCUACUUUCUGACUAAAUUCAAAAUAAGGUAGUAUCUCAAUUCCUUGAUUUUCUAGGUGAUUAACUUGCAUUAUGUGUUUACCCGUGUGAAUUUCAAAACUCUUUACACAUAUUUGCCCUAUAUUUUGUGAUUGGUACUUGAUUUUCUUUCCAAAAAUAAACUGAGGUUUAUUUACCUCACGCCCGG